rnacentral:rRNA from 1 species
GACGAACGCUGGCGGCGUGCUUAACACAUGCAAGUGGAGCGACGAACCAGGCUUCGGCCUGGGGCAGAGCCGCGAACGGGUGAGUAACACGUGGGUAACCUGCCCUGAUGAUUGGGACAAACCCGAGGGAAACUCGGGCUAAUACCAAAUGUGCCCUCCGGCCGUAAGGCCUCUGGGGAAAGAAGCUUCGGCCUCCGCAUCGGGAUGGGCCCGCGGCCCAUUGGCUUGUUGGUGAGGUAACGGCNCACCAAGGCUACGAUGGGUAGCUGGUCUGAGAGGACGAUCAGCCACACUGGGACUGAGACACGGGCCCAGACUCCUACGGGAGGCAGCAGUGGGGAAUCUUGCGCAAUGCGCGAAAGCGUGACGCAGCAACGCCGCGUGGGGAAGAAGGCCUCGGU